CAACCCCACCUGAGAGGACUUACACCACUCCUCCAAAACGCAGAAGCUUCUGUAGUCACUGCUACUCACUGUGCAAAAAUAUUUUCCAUGUAUAAGGAAAAGCCCAGCCCUCAGCUCUUCUCACUCUGCAUUCACCUCUAGCCAUCUUCCCCAUAAUCUAGGUUUCAUCAUGUGCCCAGCCCCAGUGGGACCCCGUGCUCGGCCUGCAUAACCAGGAAGCCAGCUGCUGUGUUAUUAGGUUACUUGGGGAGCCUGCAGAGAGGCUCACACGGUGAAGAACUAAAGUGUCCUGCCAACUGCAGCAAGGAACUG